GUGUGUGGCGUAUGUGGUUGUCGGAGCCUUGUUGGCUCUUCUGUGAUGUGGAUUUCAUUGAACAGGUCUUGUGCAGGUGGUGGGGGUAUGGGGUGGGGGCAAUUGGAGGGACUCCGUUGGGAGUGAAUCGGGGAGGGGAGAGGGUCCGGAGGGCCGUGGUCCGCCCCGGUCCCCAGUCCGCGCCCGUCAAUGUUAUACCGUACCCCAGGGGCCCCAGAUUUUCCGGGCUGAGUUGGUUGUCUCAUGGACCAGGGCAGACAACUCAUCCAUCUCUCUGGAUUCCUCUAUCUUCCUCCGUACCUCCGGCAUUGCCGGGAUAUCCGUACUUCCCCAAUGGGCUGCUAUCGUCCUUCG